rnacentral:sRNA from 1 species
GGGCUGGCACUGAAGCUAUAACUAAUAAAAUGAAAUUCCUCUUUGACUGGCCGGCCUUAAAAACCGGCCAUUUUUUU